rnacentral:rRNA from 1 species
UCGAACGAGAAAGUGGAGCAAUCCAUGAGUACAGUGGCGACCGGGUGAGUAACACGUGACUAACCUACCUCCGAGUGGGGAAUAACUCCGGGAAACCGGAGCUAAUACCGCAUAACAUCGCAAGAUCAAAGCAGCAAUGCGCUGGGAGAGGGGGUCGCGGCUGAUUAGCUAGUUGGCGGGGUAACGGCCCACCAAGGCGAAGAUCGGUAUCCGGCCUGAGAGGGCGCACGGACACACUGGAACUGAAACACGGACCAGACCCCUACGGGAGGCAGCAGUGGGGAAUUUUGCGCAAUGGGGGAAACCCUGACGCAGCAACGCCGCGUGGAGGAUGAAGCCCUUUGGGGCGUAAACUCCUUUCGACCAAGACGAUAAUGACGGUACUGGUGGAAGAAGCACCGGCUAACUCUGUG